UACAGAGGGGGCAAGCGUUAUUCGGAAUUAUUGGGCGUAAAGGGCGCGUAGGCGGCUUUUCAAGUGACGGGUGAAAUCCCUCGGCUUAACCGAGGAACUGCGUCUGAUACUGGAUGGCUUGAGUUCGGGAGAGGGAUGCGGAAUUCCAGGUGUAGCGGUGAAAUGCGUAGACAUCUGGAGGAACACCGGUGGCGAAGGCGGUUCUCUGGGCAUUACCUGACGCUGAGGAGCGAAAGCGUGGGGAGCGAACAGG
rnacentral:rRNA from 1 species